rnacentral:rRNA from 1 species
ACUAAGCGUACACGGUGGAUGCCCUGGCAGUCAGAGGCGAUGAAGGACGUGCUAAUCUGCGAAAAGCGUCGGUAAGGUGAUAUGAACCGUUAUAGCCGGCGAUGUCCGAAUGGGGAAACCCAGUGCAAUUCGUUGCACUAUCGUUAACUGAAUACAUAGGUUAACGAGGCGAACCGGGGGAACUGAAACAUCUAAGUACCCCGAGGAAAAGAAAUCAACCGAGAUUCCCCCAGUAGCGGCGAGCGAACGGGGAGCAGCCCAGAGUCUGAAUCAGCUUGUGUGUUAGUGGAACGGUCUGGAAAGUCCGACGGUACAGGGUGAUAGUCCCGUACACCAAAAUGCACAGGCUGUGAACUCGAAGAGUAGGGCGGGACACGUGGUAUCCUGUCUGAAUAUGGGGGGACCAUCCUCCAAGGCUAAAUACUCCUGACUGACCGAUAGUGAACCAGUACCGUGAGGGAAAGGCGAAAAGAACCCCGGCGAGGGGAGUGAAAAAGAACCUGAAACCGUGUACGUACAAGCAGUGGGAGCACCUUCGGGUGUGACUGCGUACCUUUUGUAUAAUGGGUCAGCGACUUAUAUUCUGUAGCAAGGUUAACCGUAUAGGGGAGCCGCAGGGAAACCGAGUCUUAACUGGGCGUUAAGUUGCAGGGUAUAGACCCGAAACCCGGUGAUCUAGCCAUGGGCAGGUUGAAGGUUGGGUAACACUAACUGGAGGACCGAACCGACUAAUGUUGAAAAAUUAGCGGAUGACUUGUGGCUGGGGGUGAAAGGCCAAUCAAACCGGGAGAUAGCUGGUUCUCCCCGAAAGCUAUUUAGGUAGCGCCUCGUGAAUUCAUCUUCGGGGGUAGAGCACUGUUUCGGCUAGGGGGUCAUCCCGACUUACCAACCCGAUGCAAACUACGAAUACCGAAGAAUGUUAUCACGGGAGACACACGGCGGGUGCUAACGUCCGUCGUGAAGAGGGAAACAACCCAGACCGCCAGCUAAGGUCCCAAAGUCAUGGUUAAGUGGGAAACGAUGUGGGAAGGCACAGACAGCCAGGAUGUUGGCUUAGAAGCAGCCAUCAUUUAAAGAAAGCGUAAUAGCUCACUGGUCGAGUCGGCCUGCGCGGAAGAUGUAACGGGGCUAAACCAUGCACCGAAGCUGCGGCAGCGACACUAUGUGUUGUUGGGUAGGGGAGCGUUCUGUAAGCCUGCGAAGGUGACCUGUGAGGGUUGCUGGAGGUAUCAGAAGUGCGAAUGCUGACAUAAGUAACGAUAAAGCGGGUGAAAAGCCCGCUCGCCGGAAGACCAAGGGUUCCUGUCCAACGUUAAUCGGGGCAGGGUGAGUCGACCCCUAAGGCGAGGCCGAAAGGCGUAGUCGAUGGGAAACAGGUUAAUAUUCCUGUACUUGGUGUUACUGCGAAGGGGGGACGGAGAAGGCUAUGUUAGCCGGGCGACGGUUGUCCCGGUUUAAGCAUGUAGGCUGGUUGUCCAGGCAAAUCCGGAUAAUCAAGGCUGAGGUGUGAUGACGAGGCACUACGGUGCUGAAGUAACAAAUGCCCUGCUUCCAGGAAAAGCCUCUAAGCAUCAGGUAACAUUAAAUCGUACCCCAAACCGACACAGGUGGUCAGGUAGAGAAUACCAAGGCGCUUGAGAGAACUCGGGUGAAGGAACUAGGCAAAAUGGUGCCGUAACUUCGGGAGAAGGCACGCUGGUGUGUAGGUGAAGUCCCUGCGGAUGGAGCUGAGACCAGUCGAAGAUACCAGCUGGCUGCAACUGUUUAUUAAAAACACAGCACUGUGCAAACACGAAAGUGGACGUAUACGGUGUGACGCCUGCCCGGUGCCGGAAGGUUAAUUGAUGGGGUUAUCCGUAAGGAGAAGCUCUUGAUCGAAGCCCCGGUAAACGGCGGCCGUAACUAUAACGGUCCUAAGGUAGCGAAAUUCCUUGUCGGGUAAGUUCCGACCUGCACGAAUGGCGUAAUGAUGGCCAGGCUGUCUCCACCCGAGACUCAGUGAAAUUGAACUCGCUGUGAAGAUGCAGUGUACCCGCGGCAAGACGGAAAGACCCCGUGAACCUUUACUAUAGCUUGACACUGAACAUUGAGCCUUGAUGUGUAGGAUAGGUGGGAGGCUUUGAAGCGUGGACGCCAGUCUGCGUGGAGCCAACCUUGAAAUACCACCCUUUAAUGUUUGAUGUUCUAACGUUGGCCCCUUACCGGGGUUGCGGACAGUGUCUGGUGGGUAGUUUGACUGGGGCGGUCUCCUCCCAAAGCGUAACGGAGGAGCACGAAGGUUAGCUAAUCCUGGUCGGACAUCAGGAGGUUAGUGCAAUGGCAUAAGCUAGCUUGACUGCGAGCGUGACGGCGCGAGCAGGUGCGAAAGCAGGUCAUAGUGAUCCGGUGGUUCUGAAUGGAAGGGCCAUCGCUCAACGGAUAAAAGGUACUCCGGGGAUAACAGGCUGAUACCGCCCAAGAGUUCAUAUCGACGGCGGUGUUUGGCACCUCGAUGUCGGCUCAUCACAUCCUGGGGCUGAAGUAGGUCCCAAGGGUAUGGCUGUUCGCCAUUUAAAGUGGUACGCGAGCUGGGUUUAGAACGUCGUGAGACAGUUCGGUCCCUAUCUGCCGUGGGCGCUGGAGAAUUGAGGGGGGCUGCUCCUAGUACGAGAGGACCGGAGUGGACGCAUCACUGGUGUUCGGGUUGUCAUGCCAAUGGCACUGCCCGGUAGCUAAAUGCGGAAGAGAUAAGUGCUGAAAGCAUCUAAGCACGAAACUUGCCCCGAGAUGAGUUCUCCCUGAGACUUUAAGUCUCCUGAAGGAACGUUAAAGACGAUGACGUUGAUAGGCCGGGUGUGUAAGCGCAGCGAUGCGUUGAGCUAACCGGUACUAAUGAACCGUGAGGCUUAACC